CCUGUUCGGCCUGUUGCGGGGCGAUCAGGUGGACGUGGGUGUCGAUGGCGCCCGCGGUGGCGAUGAGGUGCUCCCCCGCGAUGGCCUCGGUGCCCGCGCCGAUGACCAGGUUCGGAUCGACGUUGUUCUGGGUCUGCGGAUUGCCGGACUUGCCGAUGCCGACGAUGAAGCCGUCCUUGAUGCCGAUGUCGCACUUGACCACGCCGACCAUCGGGUCGAUGACCACGACGUUGGUGAUGACGGUGUCGAGUGCGCCCUGGGCGGCGGUGAUCUGCGGGUCGGAGGCCAUGCCGUCCCGCAUGG
rnacentral:sRNA from 1 species